UACGUAGGCAGCGAGCGUUGUUCGGAGUUACUGGGCGUAAAGGGUGCGUAGGCGGUUGUUUAAGUUUGGUGUGAAAGUCUCCCGGCUCAACUGGGAGGGUGCGCCGAAUACUGAAUGACUAGAGUGCGGGAGAGGAUAGUGGAAUUCCUGGUGUAGCGGUGAAAUGCGUAGAUAUCAGGAGGAACACCGGUGGUGUAGACGGCUAUCUGGACCGUAACU
rnacentral:rRNA from 1 species